rnacentral:rRNA from 1 species
UACGUAGGGGGCGAGCGUUGUCCGGAAUCAUUGGGCGUAAAGCGCGCGUAGGCGGCCCGGUAAGUCCGCUGUAAAAGUCCAGGGCUCAACCCUGGAAAGCCGGUGGAUACUGUCGGGCUCGAGUCCGGAAGAGGCGAGUGGAAUUCCUGGUGUAGCGGUGGAAUGCGCAGAUAUCAGGAGGAACACCGAUGGCGAAGGCAGCUCGCUGGGACGGUACUGACGCUGAGGCGCGAAAGCGUGGGGAGCGAACAGG